GCGUGCCCCCGGGGGGGGGCCCGCGCCCCAGCCUCCGAGCCGGCGCCGCCAGCAC
rnacentral:ribozyme from 1 species